UUUGCAUGCUAACCGUGCACCUCCCGAUGCUAUCUGCCUGUCUUAAUUUGCACUCCAUCAAACUGUAAUUUUCUGGUAAUGUUGGUCAUGUGGUUCAUAGUUUCUGGUAAUGUUUGCAUGCUAACCGUGAAAUUGUAGCAGGGAUAGGACAAAUUACUAUGAAAUAUACAUUGUGAAAAAUGCAUGCUAAAACUUGUGAUAUUCCCAGUUCGUUAAAAUACGAAUGUGAAUUCUGCAUUUUUCUGAACUGUGAUGCCUUUUCAUCACAUAGGAUGAACUAAUCAGUAAGGCUGCGUUUGGCAGCAAAGUAUUUGAGCUGUGUUUGGCUAUUUUGCAUCCUCAUCCUAAGCUUAUGGCCUAUAUGUGUUUGGAGUUAUUUUGACAUAGUAAUUCUUGUUCAAAUAGUGUUAAUGCUUCUCCACAAAUGUACUGAAGGUGGUUCCUGAAUUUGAAUUGUUUGUACGACAAUAUUGACCGAGAGCACUUAGUUCUGAAAACCGAUUUUAUAUACCAGUUCAUUCAGUUGUGAGAACCGAAUCUCCUGGUUGUAGAUGGCAUUCAUGCUUAACAGGUAUUAACAGGUGUGUGCUGCAGAAUGUUGUUCCGACGGCGAUCGGCGUGUUAGAGUGUCUCCGGCGGCGAUCGUGGAUGCUGGAGAGGGGGAGCGCUUCGACGGCGAUCGUGGUUGCUGCUGAGCGGGAGCGCUGCGGCGGCGAGCGGGAGCGCUGCGGCGGCGAUCGUGGUCACUGGCGAGCGGGAGAGCUGCGGCGGCGAGCGGGAGAGCUGCGGCGGCGAGCGGGAGAGCUGCGGCGGCGAGCUGGAGUUCUGCGGUGGCGAUCGUGGUCGCCGGCGAGCGGGAGAGCUGCGGCGGCGAGCGGGAGCGGUGCGGCGGCGAUCGUGGUCGCUGGCGAGCGGGAGAGAUGCGGCGGCGAGCUGGAGUUCUGCGGCGGCGAUCGUGGUCGCCGGCGAGCGGGAGAGCUGCGGCGGCGAGCGGGAGCGCUGCGGCGGCGAUCGUGGUCGCUGGCGAGCGGGAGAGCUGCGGCGAGCGAGCGGGAGAGCUGCGGCGGCGAGCUGGAGUUCUGCGGCGGCGAUCGUGGUCGCCGGCGAGCGGGAGAGCUGCGGCGGCUAGCGGGAGCGCUGCGGCGAGCGAGAGUGCUGCGUGCUUGACGGUUGCCGUGAGUGGUUAUUUUUUAUUAGACAUGGUGUUCGUGGGCUGUACCGAUUGGAAAAUAGUCUGUGCGUUUUGGGCGUGGGAAUGGGUGUUCUGCUCCAUCAAACAUUGAAACGAUGUGGUGCGUUGGAUUAAA